GCAGCGGCCGGCUUCGUCGGCGCCUCGCCCUCCGGCCUCGGGCCCCCCCCUCUCGCCGUGCUCGGCGAACGGACUUCUGAAUCGAGAUGUCUGCAAGACGGCCAUGUCGCAGUUUAACUAUGCCCCAGCCUUCCAAUCCAGGCCGAGAUUGUUUUGCUCCGCCUGUAUGGUAAUCCCGUUGAGACAUUUCCAUGUGACGUGAUGUGAUUUCUGCGGGAUCAUGGCUGGCAAUAUGCCUCUGCGGCACUUGGGUGACUGCAUAUGCAGCCAAAUUUGUCGGCAUUGGGAACCUUGGUGGAUGAAUACGGCCUGCAUGAGGGCGGGUGGCCGAGCGGCAGUGACAGCAAGGGAGCCGUGCGAGGCUGCUGCGGGCCUGCGGCUGCGUGAGUGGGGAUGAGAGGGUGGCACAGCUGAACGGAGGACCUUUAUACGAAGCGAUUGAGUGGUGGUGUUAGGGUUUGAAGGUUUCGGACAGGUAUCCACAGGAAGUCAAGGAGCACGGGGCUCUUGCACUGGGGGCACCUAGGGUCAUCCUGGGGGAGCAUCACAUAGAUGAAGCAGCGAGGACAAGCUGCAAGAACCAUGGACGUGGCCUCGGGGCUGUUGGACCACUGCAGACCAUGCUCAUUCUCGGAUGACAGGCAGGAGCUGGGGGAUGACUCCUCGUCAGCCAUCGUCCUCCUGGAGGAGUCUCCAGUUGCCGGAAGAGAGAGAUUCAGCUUCAGGUCAAGGCCCCUAGAGCCCUUCCUGUUGCUGCGACUCAUCCUGGGAGGGAUGUGAUGGCUGCAUCCAUCAAACGUUUGAAUCAGCUGGGUGUUGAAGCUCUGGAUGUGAGUAGAUGGAGAUGAGAGCGAUGUGUGAUGCUUAGAGGAGAGGACUCUGAGCUUUAGAAUGCUCAGAGGUGUUUCUUCGGUGCAGUUGUACAAGAGAUGGGUGGUAUUUAUAGUGGGAGAAGGAUGGGAGGUCAAUUGGUUUUCUUUAAUGUGACAGUAAGAGGUGGAAGGCACGGAGUUGAACGCAACUUCAGCCCAACUACGGAGACAAGAGGGGUUGACCUGAAUGUGGGCUCAUAACUGUGGCACUAGGUUACUUAGUACAGGGUAUAGUUUAAAAUGAUUUUACAUGUAUAGAUUGUGAUUAGUCGGUGUUUUGGGUCAAUCCCAUGUGCACUUCUUUAAAUUCAUAGAGCAUUCUAAUGCGUUGAUUAAAAGCUUAACAAAGAAAAAAAAAGUCCCACGCGUCAGUCAUGUUAUUGUGGUUUCACCUGUUGCAACUGGUAACACUGUUUUUUGUUGAUUGAGAAAUUAGCAGAGCGACUGAUGGAUCAAAUUCUGAGUAAACGCAUAUGGACGAGAAUUAUGAUU